rnacentral:lncRNA from 1 species
GUUAGUCAUUUUAGGGUUUGUUCUGCCAAACAGAGAUAUCCCAGGGUUUUUAUUACAACGCUUUAAGAAUGGCUUUUGGGAUACAUGAAACAGUUUUUUCCGAUCUGCUAAAGCUGUGACAAUUUUCAUGUGUGCCUUUACAAAGCUAAUCAGCAGCUGCAUUUGUUUCUUCUCUCCAAAGUACUGCUCCCCUUCUUGGCUGUGUUCCUCUUAUGAAUAUUCAUAAAUGUGAUAAAAAUUAAGUGUGAGAGAUGUGCUCUCUAUUCUUAUUUGAGGUGCUUCCUUCUGUUCAUGUCUGUAGCAUACUGACUUUCUGAUCUUCCUAAAAAAAAAAAAGAAAGGAAAGGGAUAAAUGGGUAAAUAGAGAGACAUGCAAAAGCUAGUGCUGGGUGUUGCCUGGCGACUAAUAGCUAACAGAGCCAAAUUAGCCAAGCUGCUCUGGAGACACAGGUGGUUAGCAGAUAGGGACCUCAAAAACAGGAAAGAGGAAGGAGGAGAGAUUAACUGAGUUUGGAAGAGGAGGCAAAGGUGAAACUGUUAGGGAGGUGUGGGCUAGAGUCCCUGAGAAUUAGCAAGAGCUUAAAGCCUGACUGCUUUUGGAAAUGUCUGAAGGUUGUGAGUUCUCAUGGCUUUUCUGAAGGUACUGAGGAGUUUCCUCAGGCUGCAGUUCAGCAGGAAGCUGCUUUUCAACUUCAAAACAGCCACAAAAGCCAUGGGUAAGUGGAGGUUUGAAAUAUUUCUUGAAAGCAAAGAAGAGAAAUUUGCCCAUUAAAGUAAACUUCUACCCUCUUGUCGUCCCCUGCAUCUCCCCAACAGGAAAGCCUAAAACUAAGUCAUUUUCCUGAUAACAAGGGAAAGCACAGUAUCAAGGAGCAUUAGUUUGUAAGUUGCUAUUGUCACUUAAAUGUAAAAAUAUAGACUGGGAGAAAAUUUCUCUGUAUGUUGCUGAAAGUAAUCAGUCUUAGUUACUGAUAGACUGUGUGAAUUAUGUUGGAAUGAUUGUACUCAGCUGUGCUGUGUGAAAUAAACUUAAUGCCUUCUGCA